CGUGAGAGGAUAAAGACAAGUGGUUACACAUUUGAAUUCAAAUCAAAUUUGAAUUCAAAUGCAAAUCAACUCAUCCCUAUCCACUUGGGCGUGAGAAGAGAAGGUGCGAGGCUGCAUUGUGCAUAGAAAGGUUUUACAAGAAACUCUUUCUCAUGUGAGAUAUGGGGCGCUAAAGUGGUAGGGUCAUGAAGGCACAAGAGAUAAGUUAUCCAUUCAAAUUCAAACAUGCUUUGAAUUUGAAUGGCUAACUAAUCAAUUUUAUCCAAAGAUUGGCGCACAAGAGUGGGUGUGAGAAGGGCUUUGCAUGAGAGAAAAU
rnacentral:lncRNA from 1 species